rfam:Medicago truncatula strain A17 chromosome 3, whole genome shotgun sequence.
GGCCUGUGAUGUAUGAAUAUUGUUUGUACCGUCUGAGCUGAUUCUCUUUUAGAGUUCUCUGAUUGGUACAAUAAUUCUUGAAUUUGAGGCUU